rnacentral:rRNA from 1 species
GAGAGGAACUUGUUCCUCGAGUCGUUGAUUUCACACUGCCGAGAAAAGCCUCUAGCUAGAAUAACGGUGCCCGUACCGCAAACCGACACAGGUAGUCAAGAUGAGAAUUCUAAGGUGAGCGAGCGAACUCUCGUUAAGGAACUCGGCAAAAUGACCCCGUAACUUCGGGAGAAGGGGUGCUCUUUGAGGUUCACGCUUCGAAGAGCCGCAGUGAAUAGGCCCAAGCGACUGUUUAUCAAAAACACAGGUCUCUGCUAAACCGUAAG